UGCCCGCUAGCACAACUGGCAGUUGCGCCUGGUUCUGGCCCAGGAGGUUGUAGGUUCGAGCCCUGCGCGGGCAG
rnacentral:tRNA from 2 species